rnacentral:misc_RNA from 1 species
GAUGAAGAACGUAGCGAAAUGCGAUAAGUAAUGUGAAUUGCAGAAUUCAGUGAAUCAUCGAAUCUUUGAACGCACAUUGCGCCCGCCAGCACUCUGGCGGGCAUGCCUGUUCGAGCGUCAUUUCAACCAUCAAGCCCUAGGCUUGCGUUGGAGCCCUGCGGCUGCCGCAGGCCCCUAAAAGCAGUGGCGGGCUCGCUAUCACACCGAGUGCAGUAGAUUACUCUUCGCUCAGGGCGUGUGGCGGGUUCCAGCCGUGAAACCCCCUACUUCUCAAGGUUGACCUCGGAUCAGGUAGGAAUACCCGCUGAACUUAAGCAUAUCAAUAAGCGGAGGA